UGGGGAAUUUUCCUCAAUGGGAGAAAGCCUGACGGAGCAAUGCCGCGUGGAGGUGGAAGGCCUACGGGUCGUCAACUUCUUUUCUCAGAGAAGAAACAAUGACGAUAUCUGAGGAAUAAGCAUCAGCUAACUCUGUGCCCAG
rnacentral:rRNA from 1 species